rnacentral:lncRNA from 1 species
GCGGUGGAUGGAAAAGGCGAGAGCAGGGAAGGAGCUAGGGCUAAAUAGGGACUCGAUUAGGGCGUGAUUCACGCAAAAUCCCAAGAAAUCAGGUUGGGUUCGCUCCCGGUCAUGUCCGGCUCGCUCACGGCGAGAGGAAGGAGGAGAGGGAAAGGAAGCCGCUGACCUGUGGGACCAACGCAUCAGUGAGAGAGAGACCGGGGCCGACUCGUCAUACACAGAGAAGGAAGGGGGAAAGAGAGAGGGCGUGGGGGUCGCUUCAGCUUGGAUGGUUGCGUGCGUGAUGGGCCGUGGGUUCGGCCGCGUAGAGAAAGGGCAGGGGAAGGCCGAGAGGAGAGGGGAGGAGUGGGCCUUCGGGCCAGAAUCAGGUGGGGAGAGUUUCUAUUUUUAUUUUUUAAAAUUUUGUUUGUUGGUUUCUUUUAAUUUUCAAGGUCUUUUCAAAACAGUU